CCUACUUACAAGCAGAUGAGGAUGAUGAUGGGCUGCAGUUUGGCUCCACUGGUCUGGUGUAGAACAGGAUCUCUGGAGGAUGUUUGCAACUGUGGUCACAAAAUUCAAUGUUCUGGGAGAAUUGGAAGCAGCUCAAUUUUUUGGGGCCCCUUACACAGCUCAAGGUCUGGGCCCCAGGGCCUGACGGUGAGUAUGCCCAUAAGGCCCACUCAUAAGUUCCAC
rnacentral:lncRNA from 1 species